AUGCUGCUGCGCGCCGCUUCGUGUGCGCUGCAGGUGGGGCAUCGUGGCCUCGCGUCCUGCGUGGGACGCCGGCGAGGAGACGGAGUGGAGCAGUACUGCCCAAGACGUUUCUGCCCAGAGUGUCAGGGCGAGCGUACACGUUUUUACUGUGGAUCCAUGACACAGAUGGAUGCCGACUUUCUAGCUGCAAUCUGCUCACCUGUUGGUCUGGAUAGCCGCUGUGUCCCCACAAGAGGAGGGACCGUCAUAGAGAAACACAGCUGAACUUUACUGUGGCCAAAAGAAGAAAAAAAAACAAUUACAAGUUUCAGACACCAAAGACUUCUCAGUUUGUGAACUCUAUAUAAUGAGUCUCAUGCUGUAAGCUUUAGAAUUCUGACUUGGUUGUGUUUGUCAGGUACAGCCUGAAAUAGGAAGUCCUAAGAGCAGGGAAUGAGGACUGUCCAUUUGUCCUGCUUAACGAAUCACAAUCUGAUGUAAAAAGGUAGGUAUUGAAAAACCUUAACUUUCUGCAUGUAGAUAAUACAGUACUUAUUUAUGUAAAUAACUACUUAGCUGUCCAGAAAAUAAAAAGAAGGUGAUUUUAAUUAUAGCA
rnacentral:lncRNA from 1 species